UACGUAGGGGGCAAGCGUUAUCCGGAAUUACUGGGUGUAAAGGGUGAGUAGGCGGCAUGGUAAGCCAGAUGUGAAAGCCUUGGGCUUAACCCGAGGAUUGCAUUUGGAACUAUCAAGCUAGAGUACAGGAGAGGAAAGCGGAAUUCCUAGUGUAGCGGUGAAAUGCGUAGAUAUUAGGAAGAACACCAGUGGCGAAAGCGGCUCUCUGGUCUGUAACUGACGCUGAGGUUCGAAAGCGUGGGUAGCAAACAGG
rnacentral:rRNA from 1 species